CUAGUGAUUAGAGUUUGAUCCUGGCUCAGGAUGAACGCUGGCGGCGUGCUUAACACAUGCAAGUCGAACGAACCUUCGGGUUAGUGGCGGACGGGUGAGUAACGCGUGAGAAUCUGCCCUCAGGAGGGGGAUAACGGUUGGAAACGACCGCUAAUACCCCAUAUGCCGAGAGGUGAAAUGAAUUUCGCCUGAGGAUGAGCUCGCGUCUGAUUAGUUAGUUGGUGGGGUAAUGGCCUACCAAGACAUCGAUCAGUAGCUGGUCUGAGAGGAUGAUCAGCCACACUGGGACUGAGACACGGCCCAGACUCCUACGGGAGGCAGCAGUGGGGAAUUUUCCGCAAUGGGCGAAAGCCUGACGGAGCAACGCCGCGUGAGGGAUGAAGGCCUCUGGGCUGUAAACCUCUUUUAUCAAGGAAGAAGAUCUGACGGUACUUGAUGAAUAAGCCACGGCUAAUUCCGUGCCAGCAGCCGCGGUAAUACGGGAGUGGCAAGCGUUAUCCGGAAUUAUUGGGCGUAAAGCGUCCGCAGGCGGUCUGUCAAGUCUGCUGUUAAAGCGUGGAGCUUAACUCCAUUUCGGCAGUGGAAACUGACAGACUAGAGUGUGGUAGGGGCAGAGGGAAUUCCCGGUGUAGCGGUGAAAUGCGUAGAUAUCGGGAAGAACACCAGUGGCGAAGGCGCUCUGCUGGGCCAUAACUGACGCUCAUGGACGAAAGCCAGGGGAGCGAAAGGGAUUAGAUACCCCUGUAGUCCUGGCCGUAAACGAUGAACACUAGGUGUCGGGGGAAUCGACCCCCUCGGUGUCGUAGCCAACGCGUUAAGUGUUCCGCCUGGGGAGUACGCACGCAAGUGUGAAACUCAAAGGAAUUGACGGGGGCCCGCACAAGCGGUGGAGUAUGUGGUUUAAUUCGAUGCAACGCGAAGAACCUUACCAGGGUUUGACAUCCUGCGAAUCUCUUGGAAACGAGAGAGUGCCUUCGGGAACGCAGUGACAGGUGGUGCAUGGCUGUCGUCAGCUCGUGUCGUGAGAUGUUGGGUUAAGUCCCGCAACGAGCGCAACCCACGUCGUUAGUUGCCAGCAUUUAGUUGGGCACUCUAGCGAGACCGCCGGUGAUAAACCGGAGGAAGGUGUGGAUGACGUCAAGUCAUCAUGCCCCUUACAUCCUGGGCUACACACGUACUACAAUGCUACGGACAAAGGGCAGCAAACUCGCGAGAGCUAGCAAAUCCCAUAAACCGUGGCUCAGUUCAGAUCGUAGGCUGCAACUCGCCUACGUGAAGGAGGAAUCGCUAGUAAUCGCAGGUCAGCAUACUGCGGUGAAUACGUUCCCGGGCCUUGUACACACCGCCCGUCACACCAUGGAAGUUGGCCACGCCCGAAGCCGUUACUCCAACCCUUGUGGAGGAGGACGUCGAAGGUGGGGCUGAUGACUGGGGUGAAGUCGUAACAAGGUAACC
rnacentral:rRNA from 1 species